GACACAGGACAAUGAAGGUUGCAGAUGGAAUUACGGUUGCCAACCAUUCCCUCAGUUGAGGAGAGUUUCCUGGAUCAUCCAGGUGCUCCCAAAGUCAUCACAGGGGUCCCCGUGAGUAGAAGACGGAAGCAGGAAAGAGUCACCAUCAGGUGACAUGGGAAUGACUCAACCUGCCAUUGCUGGUUUUGAAGAUCCAGGGAGGGGCCACUGUCAAGGAAUGAAGCAGUUUCUAGAAGCCUGAAAAGCCAAGAGCACAGAUUCACCCUCGAGGCCCCAGAAGGAAGCAGUCCUGCCAACACCUUGACCCUCGCUCAGGGAGACCCGGUUUGGACUUCCACCCUCUGGAACUGUGAGAUGAUACAUUUGUGUUGUGUUAAGCCACUAAGUCUGUGGGAAUCUGUUAUUGCAGUGACAGGAAAUCAAUAAGAAGAGAAGGCCCCAAAUCCGUAGAUGUGGGGAGCCAGGGCAACACGCCAAGGCUGAACGCUGGCUGCAGGGCCCACCUUGGGGAAACUUGGGGGAGCUACUCCUCCCUCACGGCAGCCAUGGCAUUAGGGGGAGCUGUCAGUCACUGGGCUUGGAGCACACAGCUACACUUCUGGAGGACUUCUGGGCCACAAAUUAGAAUAUGAAGAGACAGAAGAAAAUAGACUCUCAACACCACAGAGAAAAAAUGCUUCAUUAUGUGAGAAUCCAUUUUGUUUGCCUGAUCUCAGAAGAUGGAGUUGAUAAGGUCUUUGCCCAGCGUCCAGGAAGAAUGAGGUCACUCGGACUUGGAGGAUGGUGAAUGUGGGGAUUUUAUUGAGUAAUGGAGGUGUCUCUCAGCAGGAUGGAUGGGGAGCUGGAAAGGAGAUGGACUGGAAGAUUAUCUUCCCCCUGGAGUCCAGCUGUCCCUCGGCCAGUCUCCUCUCUGACCAUCCCCAGCCGAACCCCUCCCAACAUUCAGACGCACCUUCUCUUCUCUCCUUCUCUGCGUCACCGCCCUGCCGUUCUUCUGCUCUUCUUUUUUUCUGCUCAUGGAGCUUGGGGUUUAUAUGGACACACGAUAGGGGUGUGGUGAGCCAGAGUGAUCUUGGAGAAGGCAACAUUUGGGCAUGAAAACAGGAAAGCUUGUUCCCAUUUAGGGCCGUGGGUUUCCAGACUUGGGGGCAGGGUCUUUGCCGGGGAAACGCCCUUCUGCUUCCUGUCUGUAUCAGCAUGCAUGUGAUGUCAUCAUGUGCACAGUUUCAGGGAGGGAACCCUUUUCCUCUACUCUCUUAGGUUUUGUAUUGAGGGCCUGAAAAUUAAACUGAAAAAAAAAAAGACAACAUAGCGAGAGAAAAAAACCCUCAGAUUUAAUUACAUAUGUAUGUGUGGGAGUUCACAAAGAAGUGUGACCCAAGGAAGCAGUUAGAAUUUGGGGCUUAUGUAUCAUCUUAACAGGGGAAGGGACACCUCUGGGAGAAAUGACUUCUUAGACGAAGGGGAGAAGGGUCACUUAUGGAAAAACGAUUGUCUUUUUGGAAAAAUAAAUAUGGCCUUAGGAGAAAAGAUGAGA